ACAAUGUCACAGAAAGUGUACUCCCUUUCGACACUUAGAAUAUAUUCCAAGUAACAAAAAAACCAAGAAAGGAAUAUCGGUUAUCUUCUUUAUCAGUGCAGUCACGUGAAUAUAUCCCACCAUCGUCCCCAGAUUUCGCUUUCCCUGUCCAUUAAAUUCCUCGUUGAAGAAGAAGAAGAAGAGGAGUUACCCACAGAGAGAGAGAGAGAGAGAGAGAUGGAGCCACCUCCGACCCAGGACAUUAGCAAGAGUUAUCCAGUGGCAGAGGACGAACAGGACAAAGCCAUCAACGAGUGUUGUUCCUGCUGCUAUGACUGCUCGGACAGCUGCUUCGACUACAUCUUCUGCAACCUUUGCUAGUCCAGAUGACAGAUGUGGAAGGCUUACUAUUGAUUUUGAUCUGCGGUUUCCUUUCAUUAGCAAAUAUUGUAGAACUCACUGAGAGAAAAAUCUGGUGCUAUUUAUUGGGUUCUCUCUGAACUGUUCUGCGAUGUUUAUGAAGCACUGGAUUUCAGACAGAUAGUAAUUUUUAUCUGGCUUGCUUUCUGAUGCGAGAAAUUCUCUGUUCUGUCAUCUUGUGUUUGAGAUGGCUCUAGUCCAUGGCCUUGAUGUUUUUUUUUUUUUUUUUUGGUCUAACAUGGUCUUGAUGUUGAAAGAAGAAGAAAAAUCAAAGCUAAAGGUUAAGGUCCAA